UACGGGGGGGGCAAGCGUUGUUCGGAAUUACUGGGCGUAAAGGGCGCGUAGGCGGCCUUCUAAGUCAGACGUGAAAUCCCUCGGCUCAACCUGGGAAUUGCGAUGAAGACUGCAAGGCUAGAAUCUGGCAGAGGGGGGUAGAAUUCCACGUGUAGCAGUGAAAUGCGUAGAGAUGUGGAGGAACACCGAUGGCGAAGGCAGCCCCCUGGGUCAAGAUUGACGCUCAUGCACGAAAGCGUGGGGAGCAAACAGG
rnacentral:rRNA from 1 species